CCUACGGGUGGCAGCAGUGAGGAAUAUUGGUCAAUGGGCGCAAGCCUGAACCAGCCAAGUAGCGUGAAGGAUGACUGCCCUACGGGUUGUAAACUUCUUUUAUAAAGGAGUAAAGUGAGGCACGUGUGCCUUUUUGUAUGUACUUUAUGAAUAAGGAUCGGCUAACUCCGUGCCAGCAGCCGCGGUAAUACGGAGGAUCCGAGCGUUAUCCGGAUUUAUUGGGUUUAAAGGGAGCGUAGAUGGUCUGUUAAGUCAGUUGUGAAAGUUUGCGGCUCAACCGUAAAAUUGCCAUUGAUACUGGCAGGCUUGAGUACAGUUGAGGUAGGCGGAAUUCGUGGUGUAGCGGUGAAAUGCUUAGAUAUCAUGAAGAACUCCGAUUGCGAAGGCAGCUUACUAAGCUGCCACUGACAUUGAUGCUCGAAAGCGUGGGUAUCAAACAGGAUUAGAUACCCGAGUAGUC
rnacentral:rRNA from 1 species